GAAAACACAUUUUUGAUUUGACUAGUUUAGCUGGAAAUUGAUAUAAUUGUAUGGAAUUUUGAUGUGAAUAUUUUAUUAUUCAAAAUCUGAAGGUUGGCAAGAUUAGGGAAUAAUUAAUUGUUAAUUGAUGAUUGGUUUAUGAUUGUUUGGAGUCCUUGACGGUGAUUGUGUGUCCACAAGACGAAUGUGGUGGGAACGUUGAACAUGUUAGGGCUUGCAAAGAGAGUUGGAGCCAGAUUCUUGCUUACAAGCACCAGUGAGGUUUAUGGAGAUCCUCUUCAGCACCCUCAGAAGGAGACUUAC